rnacentral:rRNA from 1 species
UACGGAGGGUGCGAGCGUUAAUCGGAAUUACUGGGCGUAAAGGGUGCGUAGGUGGUUGAUUAAGUUAUCUGUGAAAUUCCUGGGCUUAACCUGGGACGGUCAGAUAAUACUGGUUGACUCGAGUAUGGGAGAGGGUAGUGGAAUUUCCGGUGUAGCGGUGAAAUGCGUAGAGAUCGGAAGGAACACCAGUGGCGAAGGCGGCUACCUGGCCUAAUACUGACACUGAGGCACGAAAGCGUGGGGAGCAAACAGG